rnacentral:rRNA from 1 species
UCUGUGAUCCUACGGGAGGCAGCAGUGGGGAAUAUUGCACAAUGGGCGCAAGCCUGAUGCAGCCAUGCCGCGUGUAUGAAGAAGGCCUUCGGGUUGUAAAGUACUUUCAGCAGUGAGGAAGGUGGUAGUGUUAAUAGCACUAUCAUUUGACGUUAGCUGCAGAAGAAGCACCGGCUAACUCCGUGCCAGCAGCCGCGGUAAUACGGAGGGUGCGAGCGUUAAUCGGAAUUACUGGGCGUAAAGCGCAUGCAGGUGGUUUGUUAAGUCAGAUGUGAAAGCCCGGGGCUCAACCUCGGAAUUGCAUUUGAAACUGGCAGACUAGAGUACUGUAGAGGGGGUAGAAUUUCAGGUGUAGCGGUGAAAUGCGUAGAGAUCUGAAGGAAUACCGGUGGCGAAGGCGGCCCCCUGGACAGAUACUGACACUCAGAUGCGAAAGCGUGGGGAGCAAACAGGAUUAGAUACCCUGGUAG